GAUCCUGGCUCAGGACGAACGCUGGCGGCGUGCCUAAUACAUGCAAGUCGAACGAGAGCGACCGGUGCUUGCACUGAUCAAUCUAGUGGCGAACGGGUGAGUAACACGUGGGUAACCUGCCCAUCAGAGGGGGAUAACAUUCGGAAACGGAUGCUAAAACCGCAUAGGUCUUCAAACCGCAUGGUUUGAAGAGGAAAAGAGGCGCAAGCUUCUGCUGAUGGAUGGACCCGCGGUG
rnacentral:rRNA from 1 species